rnacentral:rRNA from 1 species
UACGGGGGGGGCAAGCGUUGUUCGGAAUUACUGGGCGUAAAGGGCUCGUAGGCGGCCAACUAAGUCAGACGUGAAAUCCCUCGGCUUAACCGAGGAACUGCGUCUGAUACUGGAUGGCUUGAAUCCGGGAGAGGGAUGUGGAAUUCCAGGUGUAGCGGUGAAAUGCGUAGAUAUCUGGAGGAACACCGGUGGCGAAGGCGGCAUCCUGGACCGGCAUUGACGCUGAGGAGCGAAAGCCAGGGGAGCAAACGGG